rnacentral:rRNA from 1 species
GACAGAGGAUGCAAGCGUUAAUCGGAAUUACUGGGCGUAAAGCGUGCGCAGGCGGUUUUGUAAGCCUGUCGUGAAAUCCCCGGGCUCAACCUGGGAAUUGCGAUGGAGACUGCAAGGCUAGAAUCUGGCAGAGGGGGGGUAGAAUUCCACGUGUAGCAGUGAAAUGCGUAGAGAUGUGGAGGAACACCGGAUGGCGAAGGCAGCCCCCUGGGUCAAGAUUGACGCUCAUGCACGAAAGCGUGGGGAGCAAACAGG